UACGUAGGCAGCGAGCGUUGUUCGGAGUUACUGGGCGUAAAGCGUGCGCAGGCGGUUUUGUAAGCCAGAUGUGAAAUCCCCGGGCUUAACCUGGGAAUGGCAUUUGGGACUGCAAGGCUUGAGUUUGGCAGAGGAGACUGGAAUUCCUGGUGUAGCAGUGAAAUGCGUAGAUAUCAGGAGGAAUACCGAUGGCGAAGGCCAGGUCUCUGGGCUGAGAACUGGACGCUACAUGCACGAAGCGUGGGGAG
rnacentral:rRNA from 1 species